rnacentral:rRNA from 1 species
UACGUAGGUGACAAGCGUUGUCCGGAUUUACUGGGCGUAAAGGGCGCGUAGGCGGCGUGUUAAGUCACUUGUGAAAUCUCUAAGCUUAACUUAGAACGGUCAAGUGAUACUGAUGUGCUAGAGUGCAGAAGGGGCAACCGGAAUUCUUGGUGUAGCGGUGAAAUGCGUAGAUAUCAAGAGGAACACCUGAGGUGAAGACGGGUUGCUGGGCUGACACUGACGCUGAGGCGCGAAAGCUAGGGUAGCAAACGGG